rnacentral:rRNA from 1 species
GUCAGCAGCCGCGGUAACACCGGCAGCUCGAGUGGUAGCUGUUUUAUUGGGCCUAAAGCGUUCGUAGCCGGUUGAUAAGUCUUGGUGAAGGCUUGUAGCUUAACUAUAAGAAUUGCUGGAGAUACUAUCAGACUUGAAGUCGGGAGAGGUUAGAGGUACUACCGGGGUAGGGGUGAAAUCCUAUAAUCCUGGGAGGACCACCUGUGGCGAAGGCGUCUAACUGGAACGAUCUUGACGGUGAGUAACGAAAGCCAGGGGCGCGAACCGGAUUAGAUACCCGGGUAGUCCUGGCCGUAAACGAUGUGGACUUGGUGUUGGAAUGGCUUUGAGUUGUUCCGGUGCCGAAGGGAAGCUGUUAAGUCCACCGCCUGGGGAAGUACGGUCGCAAGACUGAAACUUAAGGAAUUGGCGGGGAGCACCACAACGCGUGGAGCCUGCCGGUUUAAUUGGAUUCAACGCCGGGCAUCUCACCAGGAGCGACAGCUGUAUGAUAAUCAGGUUGAUGACCUUAUUUGACUAGCUGAGAGGAGGUGCAUGG